rnacentral:tRNA from 1 species
GCUCCCUUCGUCUAGCGGUCUAGGACACCGCCCUCUCACGGCGUAAACAGGGGUUCGAGUCCCCUAGGGAGCG